AGGCAAGAAAAAUCUAUUAAUUUAAAUAUAUCACUGAAAGAUAAUGCUCUUGAUGUUACUCAUACAUAAAACGCACUAUUAUACAGGGUCCACUAAAACAUGCUUAUGCUGAGAUUAAAUUUUUCAUUGUACAAUUUCUAUUGUAAAUCAAUUUCUGUUCAUGAAAAUUCUGUUUCUGAUGGCUUUACACUUGAGUUAUUGGUGGAAAUUGAGGAUAGGACUUUAUAUGGCAACGAAUUAAUUUGCACCAACCAAAUAAUGUUGAAGCUGGUUUGAGCACUUCAUCAGCUUGUAGAAAAAUGCAUCAGAACUUGGCUAAAACGAUCUCUCGAAUGAAAUCUUUAGGUGCUGCCACAAUAGACAACAAACGAAAGCUAGCAAAAGUGAGAUAUAUUUGAAAACUACAGAAUUGAUAACUUCAGCAAAUCAGGAUUGGGGAACAGCCAUAAAACAAGUAUCUUAAGCUAGUAAGGUGCUUCAGAGUUGGGAAUUUUAAAGAAUGAUUUCCAAUUUGUCCUCAAAGUUAGACCCCAAAGGGACUUAAUUUGGAAUAGCCAAUGUCAGAGAUAGAGCAACGAAAUAG
rnacentral:misc_RNA from 1 species